UGCGUAGGCUGUGCAGAAAGUUGGGUGUGAAAUACCUCGGCUUAACCGAGGAAUUGCGCCCAAAACUACUGUGCUCGAGGAAGAUAGAGGUGAGCGGAACUUAGGGUGGAGCGGUGAAAUGCGUUGAUAUCCUAAGGAACACCGGUGGCGAAAGCGGCUCACUGGAUCUUAUCUGACGCUGAGGCACGAAAGCCAGGGUAGCGAAC
rnacentral:rRNA from 1 species